GACGAACGCUGGCGGCGUGCUUAACACAUGCAAGUCGAACGGUAAGGCUCCAGCUUGCUGGGGUACACGAGUGGCGAACGGGUGAGUAACACGUGGGUGACCUGCCCUGCACUUCGGGAUAAGCCUGGGAAACUGGGUCUAAUACCGGAUAGGACCGCACCGUGAGGGUGUGGUGGAAAGUUUUUUCGGUGUGGGAUGGGCCCGCGGCCUAUCAGCUUGUUGGUGGGGUAAUGGCCUACCAAGGCGGCGACGGGUAGCCGGCCUGAGAGGGUGGACGGCCACAUUGGGACUGAGACACGGCCCAUACUCCUACGGGAGGCAGCAGUGGGGAAUAUUGCACAAUGGGCGGAAGCCUGAUGCGGCGACGCCGCGUGGGGGAUGACGGCCUUCGGGUUGUAAACUCCUUUCACCAUCGACGAAGGGUUUCUGACGGUAGAUGGAGAAGAAGCACCGGCUAACUACGUGCCAGCAGCCGCGGUAAUACGUAGGGUGCGAGCGUUGUCCGGAAUUACUGGGCGUAAAGAGCUCGUAGGUGGUUUGUCGCGUCGUCUGUGAAAUUCCGGGGCUUAACUCCGGGCGUGCAGGCGAUACGGGCAUAACUUGAGUACUGUAGGGGAGACUGGAAUUCCUGGUGUAGCGGUGAAAUGCGCAGAUAUCAGGAGGAACACCGGUGGCGAAGGCGGGUCUCUGGGCAGUAACUGACGCUGAGGAGCGAAAGCAUGGGGAGCGAACAGGAUUAGAUACCCUGGUAGUCCAUGCCGUAAACGGUGGGCGCUAGGUGUGGGUUUCCUUCCACGGGAUCCGUGCCGUAGCUAACGCAUUAAGCGCCCCGCCUGGGGAGUACGGCCGCAAGGCUAAAACUCAAAGGAAUUGACGGGGGCCCGCACAAGCGGCGGAGCAUGUGGAUUAAUUCGAUGCAACGCGAAGAACCUUACCUGGGCUUGACAUAUACAGGAUCGCGCCAGAGAUGGUGUUUCCCUUGUGGCUUGUAUACAGGUGGUGCAUGGUUGUCGUCAGCUCGUGUCGUGAGAUGUUGGGUUAAGUCCCGCAACGAGCGCAACCCUUGUCUUAUGUUGCCAGCACGUUGUGGUGGGGACUCGUAAGAAACUGCCGGGGUUAACUCGGAGGAAGGUGGGGAUGACGUCAAAUCAUCAUGCCCCUUAUGUCCAGGGCUUCACACAUGCUACAAUGGUCGGUACAGUGGGUUGCCAGUCCGUGAGGGCGAGCUAAUCCCGCAAAGCCGGUCUCAGUUCGGAUCGGGGUCUGCAACUCGACCCCGUGAAGUCGGAGUCGCUAGUAAUCGCAGAUCAGCAACGCUGCGGUGAAUACGUUCCCGGGCCU
rnacentral:rRNA from 1 species